GCACCGGAGAGGCUUGCAGUCAUGUCGCAGCUCUGUUGUUCAAAGUGGAAGCCGCAGUGAAGCUAGACCUGACCAACCCAUCCAAAGCCAGAGCUGCCUGUGUCUGGAACCGUUGCUACAGAGAGAAGGUAGCUGCAGAACUUUUGAGUGCGAUGAACUUCAGCCAACCAAAGCACGGCAAAGUCCCCAAGAGAAAACCCAGACCCGCGCCAGACACAGACCAGCGUUAUAGAUAAUUUUUGACCCAUGGGGGUAAAUACCCCCACUUUUCAAAGCAUGGGGGUAAAUGGUCAAAUUUUGCCUUGCUUGAAGGGUAAUUUGCUAAAUGUAAAACAAGAAUAUAGCCCGGGUACAGACACACUACACUUUAAUCAUGUUAAACACGAUAAACCAUUAUCUAUGUGUAUUCCUUAUUAGUAGUAGGUUUCUUAAAGUGUUUUUGUUUUUUAACUGUCCUUGGUUUAUAGACUUCCACCACCGAGAGCCAUGGAAAUCAUUUUUUGCCAGCUUUCAACAGUUGUUUUAUUAGCGUUUAAGUGUCACUGUGUCCUUUUUUAUUUGAAAACAGAGGAAAUAAAAUCAUUCAGUAUUGGCA